rnacentral:ncRNA from 1 species
CGUAUGGUGUUAAGCGGUUGCAAAGUCAAUCGGGCUUAAUAGCGAUACGGCUUCUUAAUGAGGU